rnacentral:lncRNA from 1 species
CAUUACAUUCACCUACCGGCCUAGCUUUGGUUCCUGCAAGCGCUUGAAUGAAUUUGUACUAGCUUCCUUCACAACGUGCCCUUCUCCGCGGUCCAGCCUCACAAAAACUUUUCUAGCAAACAUACAAGAAGGAUUCAUAUUUUUCACCCGUCGCCGUCGUGCCAUAGGGUUGCUCAACGGGGAAGAUAACAAGCAACACCUUUUUCAC